rnacentral:lncRNA from 1 species
CUGUCGCCGUUUCUUCUCGCCUGUCGGCUCGGUCACCAGUCCAUAGUCGAGUUCUUAUUCUACAAUGGUGCAGACUUGUGUCAGACCAGUGCUGUGGACGACUUGAAUUGCUUGUCCUUAGCCAUCAUGUAUAGGCGAGUGGAAACUGCGAAGUUCCUUGUGAUCCAUAUGGAAUACAAGGACCUCUUGUUCUUGAUGAAGACAGUGUCACGUGACCUGACCUUGGGAUGUCAUGCCGAAAGAAUGUCGACGCCAAUGAGACAGUUGAUACAGUACAUGCCUGAUGUAGCAGAAAUUGUAAUGGACAGAUGUAUCACGCUGAUUGAAAAUGAUGAAGUCAAGUUCGAUCUUGAACUUCUAGACGACUACUACUCACCUUGGGCUCUGCAAA